CCUACGGGUGGCUGCAGUGGGGAAUAUUGGACAAUGGGCGCAAGCCUGAUCCAGCAAUACCGCGUGUGUGAAGAAGGCCUUAGGGUUGUAAAGCACUUUCAAUGGGGAGGAAAACCUACCGGUCAAUACCCGGUAGCUUGACAUUACCUGUAGAAGAAGCACCGGCUAACUCCGUGCCAGCAGCCGCGGUAAUACGGAGGGUGCAAGCGUUAAUCGGAAUUGUGCGGCGUAAAGCGUGCGUAUGCGGUUCGAAAGCCCCGGGCUUAACCGGGGAACUGCAUUUGAAACUGGCGGACUAGAGUUGAGUAGAGGGGAGUGGAAUUUCAGGUGUAGCGGUGAAAUGCGUAGAUAUCUGAAGGAACACCAGUGGCGAAGGCGACUCCCUGGACUCAAACUGACGCUGAGGUACGAAAGCGUGGGUAGCAAACAGGAUUAGAUACCCGUGUAGUC
rnacentral:rRNA from 1 species